AAGCAAUAGCUUCUAAAACGAUUGUGGGCUUUCCACUUCCACGGAAAUAUUGUCAUUUCCAAGCGGUAGGACAAUUCUUUCAUUCCUAAUACAUACAAUCAAUGCUUCCUAUCGUACCUGGAAAUCUCCGCAUCUCUCCAAUAUCUAGUAGUCGUUGAAGAUCCUCCACAGUAAGCCUUCUUAGAUAAUCUUCUCCAAAUAAAGAUAUAACUCCGUCAACAAAAUUUUCCAAAAUAAACUCGCCGUGGUUUCACCCAUCC
rnacentral:lncRNA from 1 species